AGCUGUCUCCCUUUGCUCACUGGAGCCAAGAAGCAAUACGCUGGUGCCAGGGACAGCCCAGGCAGCCCUGCACAGCCACCUCUCCCCUGCCUUCUGCACAGGGCACCUUUCAGGGACAAGAACGCAUGGAGGAGAGUAGGUGAGAAGGAGAGCAAAAGGUCGGCCAACAAGUGGGGGAGAAGGUCCCGGAGAGGGAGGCGCCGCAGGGUAGAGCCGGCCCCGCAUGGCUCCAGGAGAUCACGUGGGCCGUGGUCCCGCCGCCUCGGGAUGCGUUUCGCUGCCUUUGGCCGCCUCCUCCCAGGAGCUACGCUCACCCAGGUCGUAGAGGGUCCGCAGCACGGCGUCCAGGAGCGCCUCCGAGCCAGGAGGCUCAACGGAGUCCGAACCGUGCUCCGCCGCCAUGGGAACCUGCACGGACCCCACCCCGCCCCCAGAUCCGGCACACAGCCCACCACUUCCGCUUCCGGCGCGGCUUCUGCGCGUGCGUCACGGGCCCUGCGCGGCCUCGGGCCUGGUUGAGAUGGCGCUGCCCGGGGUCCCGUGCGGAGGCCGUACGGAGUGCCACUGUCCUGGGCGGACGGGAGCCGCCCCGUUCGAAAGAACCGCCCCCAGCGGCUGCACCACAGCCGCGUAGCAGACCAGCCCAGGCCCCGCCCGGGACGGCAGCCGCGCCAUGGACGUUCCUAGCUCCUCCAGCUCCCGAUUCUCGGUCGGCUCUGCCAGCCCUAGCAGUGUGCUCCUCUAUGCGGUAGGCGCCCGGGGGACCAAGGCCCAGGGCGACGUCGCGGGAAGGACAGAGCCCCCCCCCCCCGAUCCCCUUGUCCCCUGCCCACGACUCUUGCUUGUCUCAAAGAGCGGGUCCUAACCCAGGUCUGAACAGGGGUUGGAUACAUGGCUUGGUAUCCACGGCAACCAUGUGUCUGCGCCUUGGUCAACGUGUCUGCUUUUACAAGUUUGUAUCGAUGGCGGUUCCUCUGCCCCUUCUCCCCGUCAGGCCGGGAGCCCCCGCACAGUACAAUGAGGGGAGCAUUAGAUGUGUGGGCAGAGUUCUGCCUGCUGAGUAGUCCUGACCUAGCCCGCGAAGACUUGGGUCUCCACCUCCCGCCUUCCCCCUCCCAGCCCCCUUCCUCAAGUAUUCCUGGAAGAGAAAAAAAAUAUGCGGCU
ensembl:processed_transcript